AAAAAAAAGUCAGGAAUGUUUCAAACCUCCGAGAGAAUCAGUCCACAUAUAUUUUUGUGUUGUUUGACUUAGUUCCUUAAAAUCCCCAGCAUCUCGGCUUUUGACCUGGCAUUCUCAUUUGAAUUCCGAUGAGGUACCAACCCCCCUUAUAUUUUACGAUACUUCACCACUAUCACCAUCACUCCAAAACCCUAGAUCUCAUAUGCAAUGCCACAAUCGCCGCCCUCAUCCACAGUCAACACCAGAACUGUUGCACACCGUCCCCACCAUACGCCACCACCAUCGCACGCUUCUCUCCACGAAUCAUAAAAACCUUGAAUUUGAACUUUUUCACCCCUGCUUACCACCAAAGAUAUAUUCAACGUCUAUCUCUCUCUCUCUCUCUCUCUCUCUCUCUCUCUCUCUCUCUCUCGGUAUUGUUGUUUCUUCUUCUCGAUUUCAGGUUUAAAUGGAGAAGAAAAGGGAACCAGAGAUGCCUACUGAUUGUAAUUAGUUUUUCGUUUCCUCUGCAGCAAAACCCAGAUCUAAAAGGUGGGUUUUGUUUUGAAAAGGUUUUGGUAUGAUUAGAAGACAUUAAUCACAAAAAAAGGAAGAUGCUUGAGGUAAGUUUUUAAGGACUUAGUAAUCUUGAUUAUUCUUCUCAUUGUUUAUUUAUUCUGGCAUUUUCAAGCUUUUCAUUUGUCUUUUUCAAGCUUUUAAGGCCAUCUUUGGUACUCAGCUUCUCUGCUAAUCGAGGUGUCUUUCUAUAGGUAUAUGUGUUCAUUAAUAAAUCUAGGAAAAAGAUCUCGAUGUUCAAUCUGGUCGGCAUCCAGCUUAAAUUAUUUGACUUAUUUUUUUGAAUUUCCUUUCCCCCUUCCCCUAUGUUUCAGGUACAUUGAUUUAUAUUUUCUGAUUUACUUUUUUAAUCGUUUUUUUUCCAUUAUUGAUUUUUGAUUUACAUGUGGUUUUUUAUUCUGAUUAAAAUAAAUACAGUUUGUGGGUCUAUGUUUAAUUGUAUGUAUGUAUGUGUGUGUUUUUAUAGGAACAAUGUCUCAGGCCAUAAAAUGAAGGUACUUAAAGCAAAAUGUGUAGGUUUUAACUGAAACCUAUUGGAUCCAUAACAAUAACAUUCCGUAGGUAAGUAUCGUACAUGAAUUUAUGUAGUGUGCUGCUAAAAAACUCAAUAAUUUGUCUUUUUGUUUGACAUUUUUGAGAUUUUUGUUUGGUAAGUCACGAUAAAGUAUUUAUUAGCUUAUUAGAUGUCAUUUUAUUUUUAACCUAUUGGAAGCUAUUGAUCUUGAGCUUUUUUUUUGUAGCAAAAGGUUAAAAUUUGUAGGCAAGGCAGGUAUUGAAAGUAACUUUCAUGGUGACAUUAUGCAUUUAUUUUUAUCACAUUUUUGUAUUUUUCAAGAAAAAAAGUUUCAAUUUUGACAAAAGUUCUAUGUUUUAAUUUGGUGGGUUUAUAAACAAACCAACAACAAAUGGUGUUGCUAUGACAUCCAUCAUUCAUUUGAUCUGCAAUAUGCUUAUUACACUUUUGGUACAAUAUUAGACAUAUUUGGUAUAAUUAUUCUUGACAAGAUCAUUUAAUGAUGUUUGAGCUAAUCCUUGUCUCCUUGGUACUUCCAGGUAUGAUUCAAGUUCCCCAUAUGUUAAGGUUUAAUACAAGAAAUUAUAGUAUACUUUUAUUUUAUUAAAUAUAAUAAUGUACUUCAUUUUUUUUGGAUUGAUUUUCAAGAGUACAAAUGUACAAUGUCUUAUUCAAAUGGAAGUGAAUUUUUUGAUAAGUGGAAGUAAGUUGUUUUAUCUAGCCAUCAACAAUUUUUGUA